UGGUGAACACUCUUCAAAUAGACCCUUCUGAACCUACUUCCGGCGCCUGCUUUCCGAUUGGAUCAAUGGGGGUGUAUUCUUUUUGACGCUGAUGGCCGUGGUUCAUAGGAGCUUCACUCCGGUGGUGACUGACGAACGACGGCGGUGCUAAAUCCGCUGGAAUCAACCACGGCAGCCAUGAUCUUCGAGCUUUCUCACCCCGGUAAGCUCCUAAAACCCAUCUCUUUCAUCUCUUUUUUGAUUUAGGUAUUUAGGUUAAAGUUUUCUUUGAGUUUACAAAUUCCAUUGUUGUUCAAUCUUUCCCAAGCUUAAAUUCCAGGUUUACAAAUCACGUUUCCAGGUUUCCUUUUUACGAUUUCUCUGAUUUGUUUGCCAAAUUUCGAAACCCAUCACAAACCAGAUUGUUCCUUAGAUGCUUUGCCAGCCAAAUCACAAACUGUAACAGCCCGUCGGAGAUUCGAAUAAACCCGCAUCGCCGCAUCAUAAACCCGCAUCGCCGUUCUUCGACUUCACAGGCCAAAUUGCGUUUACGGCUGGCGUUUCUAAUUUGUCAGUUCUGCUUUUACUUUGUUGUCUCUUUCGUCAGGUGCAAUUGUAUACGUUUGUGGGUUGUCGCCGUUUCGUAGCUUCUUCCUGGGGUGCAUUUCGUCCGACAUUGUUUUCUCUCUUAGGUUUGUGGGUAACUCUUUUUUCAUGAAGAAAAGUGUUGUCUUCUGUGUUUUCCAAGGUGUAUAUAUGGCAUUUUGAAACCUAGAUCUGCCAUGAAAGAAACAACUUUAGCUUUUCUUAGAUUAACGAUUCUGUGUUGCACAAACUGGUGUACGCCGCUAACAGUGUGACUGGUAAAUUCGUGCAGACUAGGAUUACAAAGAUCCUAAAGGUGUUGACAGGCAACAUCACACGAUGUGGUCUCUGAUUGUUGAGGCUCGACUUUGGUCCUGGCAUCAUGAUCCUUAAAAAAACCAAAAAGAUAGCCGCACCAGCCUGUUCAACUCUCCAAGGCAAGUAAUUUAACUUUGUAAUAGACCAGGCUCGGAACAUGCUUCAAAACAGGAAAUCAGCUUGGUCAACCCACUACAACUUUCAGCACUUUAUAUUUAGUACAUCAACUAUCCCAAUGUAACACAGAUAACUGAUAACUUCCUGGUAACAUAAAACCUUACCCGCCGCGAAGCGCGGGCGUUAUCUACUA